GAGGGGAGGUCCCCGCCGGCGAGGCGGGAACGUCCCGGCAUCGGCCGAGCCCGCCGGCUGUGAAGUUUCACGCUGAAGCUCCGGGGAAAGGCGUUUGGAGAGCGCGGCGAGAAAGAUCCGCCGGCCCCGCGGGGCGAGCGCGCCACGGGCCGAGGGUGGCUUGGGGCCAGCACGCAAGCCCUGCCUCUGCCGGCACAGGGGAUGGCCCUGGUCGGGCCGUGAGUCCCAGGAGGAUGCCGUGAAGAAAGUCAGAAGGGCUCUGUUUGCCAGCGGCUGGAAGCCGAGGAGCAAAUGGAGCAGGUGCAAAAACAGGAUUCUUGUGAUUAAGACGAGAAGUGCUGCCGUGGAGGACGGGAGCCUGCCCUUUCUUCGGCCCCUCAGCUCCCCGGAGGGAGGCACCAGGCUCUCACCCGCACUGUCCACGGCCGGUUGCUAAUCCAGGAUUGCCCACUGUGGGGACGUGCGACGCGUAACUUGCGACCGAUCCAUGGAAGCACCGGGGAAUAAAUGCUCGGGGCAGCGUGGGCACGGCCAGGAGGGGCAACGGCUGGGGCUGUGCAGCGUGGCGUGACUCAGAACAGACAGGUGAAGCGAUGGAAGAAGACUGAGGCAUCACAGACUGGAUGCUCUUCCUGCUCCACUGCAGCGUGCUGCACACCGGUGAAUACAUUGGGGCUUGUGAAGCGGUUUGAUGCUGUGAGAGGCAGCAGGGUAGAAUCACAGGGUAAUUGAGGUUGGCAGGGACCUCCGGAGCAUUCCCAGUCCAACCUGCUGCGCGGUCCAGGACCAGCUCUGAAGCCGAAUCUAACUUCACAGUGAGAUAAGGUUGCUCAGGCCUAAAUGCAGAAAACACGCUUGAAUGACCACCAAGGGAAGUAAUGACUCCAGCUACAGGCAGACACGUUAGAUGACACCUAACAGAAGAGAUCUGGGCUGGGCAAAACCAAGCUCCCAAUAAAUUCCUCUUUCAGAGUCCCAAGCGCAGCCCCACAGCCUCAAAACAGCCUCUGCGCAGCCUUCCCCUCAUUCCUCCAGCACGGUAUCUGAAUUAAAAGAAGGAAUUGCACCUCCUCUGGGAAUCUCCAGCUGCCAAUUUCGGAGAUUCUGCCCCGAACACCCUGCCAGCAGGAGCCCGGGCAGCCCGCAGGAACUCAGGCAGGCAGCACCACCUGGCCCAGGUCACCAGAAGCUGCCCCUGGGACUCUUGAAGGGGCCAUACAUUAAAUUCAUUCCUGAAGCACUUUACAUCUUGUGUAAAAAGCAAGUCGAUUUGGUUUUUUCCAAAUCUUGGUUUCUGGAGGCAAUACUGAAAGCUCAGAAGGACUAGGAGAAGCUAUAGGGAGCUGUCUAAAGGAAGUGAAACACGAGCAUGAGAUGACAAUGAUCUCUGCAUGCAGUUGGUUUCCUCACAGUGUCUUAUCCCUCUGAACCACAACCCUUGUAGGGGGAAAAGCACCUGGUUUUAAGUGGGCAGAAAGUUAGUUUUCUAUACGAAACCCCCUUGACUCUUGCAAACUGGUCUCAGUGACAGCUGGUGGUCAAAUGCUUGUUUGAAUCAUUGCUGUUUGGACAUGUUCUUUAGGGGCGCAGAAAUUAGGCAGUGAUUCAACAGUUCACAGAAGACACACGAGUGGAAAGUUAUUCCUGCUGGGGUAACACUUGCAUGUUGAGCGUGUCACCUUCCAUCUUUUGCACCUCUGCACAAAAAGGAACAAGGGAAAAAACGCAAUGCUGAAUUGUUAAGAAAACACUGAUUGACCACAAUCGUAUCAACUAACAUGAAGGGGUGAUUUCUCCAUUAUUAGGAAUUCAAUAAUUUUGAUCCUGACAUCAUGGCCUAUCUAUCUCGUGUGAAAUUGUAAAGAUUACUCAACAUUUGUAGAAUAACCUAAAAAUACUCAGAAUAGAUGGAAGGGCCUGAGUACCUACACGUUAAAACUGGCAUACAAACCCUAAUACUGCAUCUGAAUGAAUACAGUUGGACUUUGUCAUGCUUAUCCAUUCUGUAUUCACCACAGUGUUUGACAGGUAGGGCUCCCAGUGAGCAGCACAUAAGAUAUUAUAACAUCCACAUUCCUAAGAGUCAGGCUCUUUGUAUCUGUCAGUAACUGGCAUUUCCCACAAUGAGACCUAAAAAGAAAAAGAAAACUAAGCAGUAGUUCUAGAACUAAUGAAGCCUCGUUUCCUCCAGCCUUGCAUCUUAUGGUCAACUGCAAGAUCUGCUUGAAUCUUUUCCCACUGUCAGAAUACCUUUGCCAUGUAUCUUCACAGGAACAUAACAAAUCCACUAAUAAAGUCCUCCUUGUCUGCCCAGUCACAAAA